ensembl:lncRNA
GGAGCAGAAAUCGUAUUUUUUAAUUUCUACAGAAUAACUUUGUUAUUUUUUGUGUGUUUAUUCUGGAAGGAGCUUUGGACGAUUGGAUUCUCUGUUACCAGGAGGGAAACUCCAGAGUGGACCAAAAAGAACUAGAACCUCCAGAGAUCAGAGAGGAGCCAGUGGAGCUGUACAGCAACCAGGAGGGAGAGCAGCUGCACCUGAAUCAGGAGACUGGUGUGAACGUGGAGUUCAAAUCUGAAUCUGAAAAAACGUUUCUAGGUGGUGAAAUCAAGGCACUGUUGGAUCAGCAGUACUGUCCGGGGACUCCUGAAAUUAAGUCUAACAAAUUAGAUGUUCAACAGCUACAUGUCUGUGAGGAGGAUGAGGAUGUAUGGCAAAAGAUACACUCCAGUCUGGAUUGGGCGGAGGAAGCUGAUGUAACUAUGGAGAACCAAUCUGAGUGUGAAGAAACAUUUGAAGAUGUUCAACAGCAACAUGUCUGUGAGGACGAUGAGAAAUGGCAGGAGAGACACUCCAGCCUGGACCAAGCAGAACCAGAACCUCUACAGAUGAAAGAGCAACCAGAGGAACACUGCAAAAAUCAGGAGGGAGAACAACUGUUCCUGAAUCAGGAGACUAAUGUGAAUCUGGAGAACACAUCUGAAUAUGAAGUUACAUUUGAACAUUGUGAAAUCAAGGAACUGUUUGAUCAUCAGUACUUCCUGAGGGUCAGGAUUCCUGAAACAAAGUCACACAAACGAGAUGUUCAACAGCAACAAGUCUUUGAAGAAGAUGAGGAGGAAUGUCAGCCCCAUAAGCAAAAGAGACACUCCAGUCUGGACCAAGCAGAACCAGAGACACUGUGUAGUAUUCAAGAGGGAAAGAAGCUGCUGCUGAAUGAAAAGGAGGCUGAAGUGAUAUCUGAAUAUCAAGAAACAUUUGAACAUUGUGAAAUCAAGGAACUGUUAGAUCAUCAAUACUGCCUGAGAGUCAGGAUUCCUGAAACAAAUUCAAACAAAACGGGUAUGUAAAGUUUAUUUGCUUUGAAAAAGUUUUCUUUCCUGAAUGAUAAAGAAAACAGAAAAAUGAUUUCAGGCAGAUCUGGGUACAAAAGGGUCUGAAGGAGAAGUCCAAACUUGAUCCUUGUUUAAAGCUAAACUCAAUUAUGACUGUGCGUUUAUUAUUAUUGUAAUUGUUAAUUUAUUUAUUUUUAUUGAUAAUGGCGAAAAACAUUUCCAGUUUCUUAAAAACAUUCUACGCUACUCACAAUAAAUUAAGGAUGUUGUGGAAGAACUGGAUGUCAUACAGAAUGUGUUUCAUUUCACAGAUUUUCAGGAUAAGGAGGGAAUUGUUUUGGGAUAAUAGGCCAACCUCACUUUGUGUUUUCUGCAUAAUGGUCUCACAGUGGGCCUUACUUAUGGGGACAAAACCAAAACAUUCUAAAAGCAAAAGCUUUCAAUGUGGCAUUAGUUUCAACAUUCUGUAGGUAUAAAGUUAACUUUGCCAGUAAGUCAUUCCAAGUUCAUCAUUCAAACAGCCAUGAAGAGAUGACGUCGCUCAACAGACGAGCUACUGGCCAUAGUGUGUCUUCAGGUUGGUGGUAGGCAGUCAGAUGUUGCAGGUGAACUUGCUGAGUCUCAAAGUGUCAUCAGCAGACUUGAAUCAAGGCAAAAACAGACUGCAACCAUGACCAACACCUAAAGAGCUUUGCACUGAAACGUCAUUUUGCAAAUGCCACAAAGCUGCUGGAUAUUUGAGAGAUAUUAAGGUUUUCAGGUG